rnacentral:pre_miRNA from 1 species
CUUGUACUCCCUCCGUCCGAAAAUACUUGCCAUUGAAAUGGAUGUAUCUAGAUGUAUUUUAGUUCUAGACACAUCCAUUUUGAUGACAAGUAAUUCUGGACGGAGGAAGUACUUG